rnacentral:rRNA from 1 species
GGUCUACCAUGCAAGUUCGAGCGAUUCUCUUCGGAGAAGAGCGGCGGACGGGUUGAGUAACGCGUUGGGCUAACCUGCCCUGUUACACACGGAUAACAUACCGAAAGGUAUGCUAAUACGGGAUAACAUAUUUUGAUGGCAUCAUCGAAAUAUCAAAGCUCCGGCGGUACAGGAUGGACCCGCGUCUGAUUAGCUAGUUGGUGAGGUAAUGGCUCACCAAGGCAACGAUCAGUAGCCGACCUGAGAGGGUGAUCGGCCACAUUGGAACUGAGACACGGUCCAAACUCCUACGGGAGGCAGCAGUGGGGAAUAUUGCACAAUGGGCGAAAGCCUGAUGCAGCAACGCCGCGUGAGCGAUGAAGGCCUUCGGGUCGUAAAGCUCUGUCCUCAAGGAAGAUAAUGACGGUACUUGAGGAGGAAGCCCCGGCUAACUACGUGCCAGCAGCCGCGGUAAUACGUAGGGGGCUAGCGUUAUCCGGAAUUACUGGGCGUAAAGGGUGCGUAGGUGGUUUUUUAAGUCAGAAGUGAAAGGCUACGGCUCAACCGUAGUAAGCUUUUGAAACUGAGAAACUUGAGUGCAGGAGAGGAGAGUAGAAUUCCUAGUGUAGCGGUGAAAUGCGUAGAUAUUAGGAGGAAUACCAGUUGCGAAGGCGGCUCUCUGGACUGUAACUGACACUGAGGCACGAAAGCGUGGGGAGCAAACAGGAUUAGAUACCCUGGUAGUCCACGCCGUAAACGAUGAGUACUAGGUGUCGGGGGUUACCCCCCUCGGUGCCGCAGCUAACGCAUUAAGUACUCCGCCUG